GAGCUCAGGGAAGAAGGCUACACGUCAGUCGCAAUUUCUCUUUGCUCUUCUUCAUCUUCUAUAUCUCUCUUUUUAAUUUUCAAUUUUGUUCAUAUUUAACUAUGCAAUCUCUAAUUAAUCUGAAAUAACUCAUCAAAAUGAAAUCAAAAGGGAAUCGAAGAAGCUACAUUACAAAUCUAUAUUUUAUUUUCUCGUUUGAUGUGUAUGCUUAAGAUCUUUUUUUUUUUUCCUUAGUUUUCACCUGAUACGCAUCAAAAUUUAAUUUCCCAUAUUUUGUGAAAGUAGGAUUUCUUUUUCUAUGGGUGAUUUCUAGCUUCUAUUUGGUAGCCUGGAAUAUCCCGAAUACGGAAGAAAGAAACUAUAAUACUGGACCUAACUGAGAAAAAAAGGGAAAGUUUUUUCUGGGUGAUGGUGGAGCUAGGAAAACUGAAUUUAACGGUUUUCAAGAGAUAUGCCAAGUGCGAUUAAAAUACACGGAAGCAAAUGUGCAUAGAACGUAGGAAACUGAAGGAUGCUGAGAUUGGAAACUUUGGUUCUUGGGUUAUUCGGGAGUGGGUGAAAAUCUGAAAUUUCCUCUACUGCGAUGCUUUGGGUUGUUUUUAGUGUGUUUUUAAAUCAUAAAAACCUCAAACAAAUGGUGGGUUUUGACUUUUGACGAUAAAUAUGGACUGUUGUAUAAAUUAAUACGCAUGAUUUUGUGCAUGAGUUGCUGCUAGUAAAUCAUAAAGCCGGCAAUCUACACUUGUCCUUCAUUUUGAACUUUAAGCAGUUCAGACAUGUUAUUCACAUUGUCAGUUUAGUUUAUUCUUUGAGCUUGACUGACUUUCUAUUCAUUUUGCUUCUUUUAUUUUGUUUAAUAUCUUUCAGGAAGUGCCUUUUGGAUGGAAAU
rnacentral:misc_RNA from 1 species